rnacentral:rRNA from 1 species
UACGUAGGGGGCGAGCGUUGUCCGGAAUUACUGGGCGUAAAGAGAGCGUAGGCGGCACUACAAGUCUCAUGUGAAAUACCCGGGCUUAACUUGGGGGUUGCAUGGGAAACUGUAGAGCUUGAGUACAGGAGAGGCAAGCGGAAUUCCUAGUGUAGCGGUGAAAUGCAUAGAUAUUAGGAGGAACACCAGUGGCGAAGGCGGCUUACUGGACUGUAACUGACGUUGAGGCUCGAAAGCGUGGGGAGCAAACAGG